GUAGGGCGCGAGCGUUGUCCGGAUUUAUUGGGCGUAAAGAGCUCGUAGGCGGCUUGUCGCGUCGACUGUGAAAUCCCAUGGCUUAACUGUGGGUCUGCAGUCGAUACGGGCAGGCUAGAGUUCGGUAGGGGAGACUGGAAUUCCUGGUGUAGCGGUGAAAUGCGCAGAUAUCAGGAGGAACACCGGUGGCGAAGGCGGGUCUCUGGGCCGAUACUGACGCUGAGGAGCGAAAGCGUGGGGAGCGAACAGGAUUAGAUACCCUGGUAGUCCACGCUGUAAACGUUGGGCGCUAGGUGUGGGGGGCCUCUCCGGUUCUCUGUGCCGCAGCUAACGCAUUAAGCGCCCCGCCUGGGGAGUACGGCCGCAAGGCUAAA
rnacentral:rRNA from 1 species